rnacentral:rRNA from 1 species
CGGCCGCGGUACCCUAACCGUGCAAAGGUAGCACAAUCACUUGUCUAUUAAUUGUAGACCUGUAUGAAAGGCAAAACGAGGGCCUAUCUGUCUCUUGUAGUAAAUCAAUUAAACUGAUCUCCCAGUCCAAAAGCUGGGAUACCAACAUAAGACCAGAAGACCCUGUGAAGCUUAAACUAAACUAUUAAAUCCUAUAAUAGCUCCUUUCGGUUGGGGCGACCCUGGAAAAAAAAAGAACUUCCAAACAUACUGACUUUACACUCACCAACCCAGGCCAACAAGCCUAACAACGACCCAGCAUUGCUGAUAACUGAACCAAGUUACUCCAGGGAUAACAGCGCUAUCUUCUUCAAGAGCCCAUAUCAAAAAGAAGGUUUACGACCUCGAUGUUGGAUCAGGACAU